UACACAACUAAGCAGGAGAUGAUAGGGUCUCAAACUGGACUUUUUGAUCAUUUGAUAAACGUUUGGAAAUUCAAGCGUGGUCCUCUUCUGCAACCUGUGACCUAUUACUUCUUAAUUUAUGGACUUUAAGUUUCAGUCAUCCCUAUAUCAUCAGAAGCUCCGCGGGGCGAUGGCACAUGGUCGGCAAGGCAGCGUUCUACAGCGCACCAGCCCGCAACAGAGGCGGCGCCCACGGC